rnacentral:rRNA from 1 species
AUUGAACGCUGGCGGCAUGCCUUACACAUGCAAGUCGAACGGUAACGCGGGGCAACCUGGCGACGAGUGGCGAACGGGUGAGUAAUGCAUCGGAACGUGCCCAGUAGUGGGGGAUAGCCCGGCGAAAGCCGGAUUAAUACCGCAUACGACCUACGGGUGAAAGCGGGGGACUCGCAAGAGCCUCGCGCUAUUGGAGCGGCCGAUGUCAGAUUAGGUAGUUGGUGGGGUAAAAGCCUACCAAGCCGACGAUCUGUAGCUGGUCUGAGAGGACGACCAGCCACACUGGGACUGAGACACGGCCCAGACUCCUACGGGAGGCAGCAGUGGGGAAUUUUGGACAAUGGGCGCAAGCCUGAUCCAGCCAUGCCGCGUGCAGGAUGAAGGUCCUAUGGAUUGUAAACUGCUUUUAGCAGAGAAGAAAAGCAUCCUUUUAAGGGUGUCUGACGGUAUCUGCGGAAUAAGCACCGGCUAACUCCGUGCCAGCAGCCG